GAUGAACGCUGGCGGCGUGCCUAAUACAUGCAAGUCGAGCGAACGGACGAGAAGCUUGCUUCUCUGAUGUUAGCGGCGGACGGGUGAGUAACACGUGGAUAACCUACCUAUAAGACUGGGAUAACUUCGGGAAACCGGAGCUAAUACCGGAUAAUAUUCUGAGCCGCAUGGUUCAAAAGUGAAAGACGGUCUUGCUGUCACUUAUAGAUGGAUCCGCGCUGCAUUAGCUAGUUGGUAAGGUAACGGCUUACCAAGGCAACGAUGCAUAGCCGACCUGAGAGGGUGAUCGGCCACACUGGAACUGAGACACGGUCCAGACUCCUACGGGAGGCAGCAGUAGGGAAUCUUCCGCAAUGGGCGAAAGCCUGACGGAGCAACGCCGCGUGAGUGAUGAAGGUCUUCGGAUCGUAAAACUCUGUUAUUAGGGAAGAACAUAUGUGUAAGUAACUGUGCACAUCUUGACGGUACCUAAUCAGAAAGCCACGGCUAACUACGUGCCAGCAGCCGCGGUAAUACGUAGGUGGCAAGCGUUAUCCGGAAUUAUUGGGCGUAAAGCGCGCGUAGGCGGGUUUUUAAGUCUGAUGUGAAAGCCCACGGCUCAACCGUGGAGGGUCAUUGGAAACUGGAAAACUUGAGUGCAGAAGAGGAAAGUGGAAUUCCAUGUGUAGCGGCGAAAUGCGCAGAGAUAUGGAGGAACACCAGUGGCGAAGGCGACUUUCUGGUCUGUAACUGACGCUGAUGUGCGAAAGCGUGGGGAUCAAACAGGAUUAGAUACCCUGGUAGUCCACGCCGUAAACGAUGAGUGCUAAGUGUUAGGGGGUUUCCGCCCCUUAGUGCUGCAGCUAACGCAUUAAGCACUCCGCCUGGGGAGUACGACCGCAAGGUUGAAACUCAAAGGAAUUGACGGGGACCCGCACAAGCGGUGGAGCAUGUGGUUUAAUUCGAAGCAACGCGAAGAACCUUACCAAAUCUUGACAUCCUUUGACAACUCUAGAGAUAGAGCCUUCCCCUUCGGGGGACAAAGUGACAGGUGGUGCAUGGUUGUCGUCAGCUCGUGUCGUGAGAUGUUGGGUUAAGUCCCGCAACGAGCGCAACCCUUAAGCUUAGUUGCCAUCAUUAAGUUGGGCACUCUAAGUUGACUGCCGGUGACAAACCGGAGGAAGGUGGGGAUGACGUCAAAUCAUCAUGCCCCUUAUGAUUUGGGCUACACACGUGCUACAAUGGACAAUACAAAGGGCAGCGAAACCGCGAGGUCAAGCAAAUCCCAUAAAGUUGUUCUCAGUUCGGAUUGUAGUCUGCAACUCGACUACAUGAAGCUGGAAUCGCUAGUAAUCGUAGAUCAGCAUGCUACGGUGAAUACGUUCCCGGGUCU
rnacentral:rRNA from 1 species